rnacentral:rRNA from 1 species
GAUGAACGCUGGCGGCGUGCUUAACACAUGCAAGUCGAACGGUGAAGCCAAGCUUGCUUGGUGGAUCAGUGGCGAACGGGUGAGUAACACGUGAGCAACCUGCCCUGGACUCUGGGAUAAGCGCUGGAAACGGCGUCUAAUACUGGAUAUGAGACGUGAUCGCAUGGUCGUGUUUGGAAAGAUUUUUCGGUCUGGGAUGGGCUCGCGGCCUAUCAGCUCGUUGGUGAGGUAAUGGCUCACCAAGGCGUCGACGGGUAGCCGGCCGGGGAGGGUGACCGGCCACACUGGGACUGAGACACGGCCCAGACUCCUACGGGAGGCAGCAGUGGGGAAUAUUGCACAAUGGGCGGAAGCCUGAUGCAGCAACGCCGCGUGGGGGAUGACGGCCUUCGGGUUGUAAACCUCUUUUAGCAGGGAAGAAGCGAAAGUGACGGUACCUGCAGAAAAAGCGCCGGCUAACUACGUGCCAGCCGCCGCCGUAA